UGAUACAGGAUUUAGUAUGAUAGGAAAGUACCCAAACGACAGCAAUAUGGACUAUACCUGUUUUUGUUCAGGAAUAUACUUUUAUUUUUAUGAUAAAUCUCCUCCUAGUUGGACCUUUUCAUAGUAUAAUUGAGACGAUGUGUUUUACAGGGACAUUUUUACUGCAUCUACUAAUUCAGUAGAGAGACACAAGGCUAGAAUAAAGGCUGUUAGAAGGCCUGCGCUGCAUGUGGUUUGUGCUAUGACUGAAUUCCUUUCUCCCUACAGUUUCCAUGCUGAUCCAGGUUAUGUGGUAGGAGAGAGAUGACUCUUACUGAGAAGCCAGUUUUGAAAUGGUCAGCCACAGCAAAGUAUGAUAGUCCC